rnacentral:rRNA from 1 species
GAUGAACGCUGGCGGCGUGCCUAAUACAUGCAAGUCGAGCGAACAGAUGAGGAGCUUGCUCCUCUGACGUUAGCGGCGGACGGGUGAGUAACACGUGGAUAACCUACCUAUAAGACUGGGAUAACUUCGGGAAACCGGAGCUAAUACCGGAUAUGUAUUGAACCGCAUGGUUCAAUAGUGAAAGACGGUUUUGCUGUCACUUAUAGAUGGAUCCGCGCCGCAUUAGCUAGUUGGUAAGGUAACGGCUUACCAAGGCAACGAUGCGUAGCCGACCUGAGAGGGUGAUCGGCCACACUGGAACUGAGACACGGUCCAGACUCCUACGGGAGGCAGCAGUAGGGAAUCUUCCGCAAUGGGCGAAAGCCUGACGGAGCAACGCCGCGUGAGUGAUGAAGGUCUUCGGAUCGUAAAACUCUGUUAUUAGGGAAGAACAAAUGUGUAAGUAACUAUGCACGUCUUGACGGUACCUAAUCAGAAAGCCACGGCUAACUACGUG